rnacentral:rRNA from 1 species
AUUGAACGCUGGCGGCAGGCUUAACACAUGCAAGUCGAGCGGGGUGAUGGUGCUUGCACUAUCACUUAGCGGCGGACGGGUGAGUAAUGCUUAGGAAUCUGCCUAUUAGUGGGGGACAACAUCUCGAAAGGGAUGCUAAUACCGCAUACGUCCUACGGGAGAAAGCAGGGGAUCACUUGUGACCUUGCGCUAAUAGAUGAGCCUAAGUCGGAUUAGCUAGUUGGUGGGGUAAAGGCCUACCAAGGCGACGAUCUGUAGCGGGUCUGAGAGGAUGAUCAGCCACACUGGGACUGAGACACGGCCCAGACUCCUACGGGAGGCAGCAGUGGGGAAUAUUGGACAAUGGGGGGAACCCUGAUCCAGCCAUGCCGCGUGUGUGAAGAAGGCCUUAUGGUUGUAAGGCACUUUAAGCGAGGAGGAGGCUACUGAGACUAAUACUCUUGGAUAGUGGACGUUACUCGCAGAAUAAGCACCGGCUAACUCUGUGCCAGCCGCCGCCGUAA